AGAGUCGGAAGGCCUGGGUUCACAUUCUGCCCCUCCACUUACCUCACACUGAUACAGUUAUUUAAUCACUCUAAGUUUCCAUUUCUUCAUCUGUGAAAAGGGAUAAUUCCGGAACAUACCUAAGUGUAUAGGAUUUUUGUGAGGAAUAAAGAAGAUCAUGUAUAUGAAGCAUUAGAGCUUGAUAAGUGUUAGCUACUAAUGUUAGUGGUAUUAUUACUACUGUUACUACCACUUCUACUCCUGUGGUUGGCAGAUGAAAGCCUAGAGUGGCAUUUGUGGUAAGUUUUUAAUUUGUGCACCAUAUCUAUUUGCCACCUUGACAGAAAGAAGGAAGAUGAGGCUUCUUUUCGUAUCUUCUUGGUACCUCUGAUGUAAUCCUAUAUUAUCCUUAUACAUACUCUUACACAUUUUAUUCUUUCUUUCUUUCUUUAUUGAGAAAUAUUCCAGUGCCUGCAAUUUGUUGGGCACUUGCCAGCACAUUCCUGCUCCCUGGACCUUUACAGCAGAGUAUCUCAUUUAUACCAAUGUAUGUCUUUUGUUUUAUUUUUAUUAACAUUUUUUUUCUUAACGUUUAUUUUUUUGAGAGGGGAGGGGAAGAGAGUGAGGGAGACACAGAAUCUGAAGCAGGCUCCUGGCUCUGAGCUGUCAGCACAGAGCCCGAUGUGGGGCUCGAACUCACGAACCGUGAGAUCAUGAACUGAGCCGAAGUCGAACACGUAACUGAGCCACCCUGGCACCCCUGUGUAAAUGUAUGUCUUAAUUAGUGUGGUCCUUUGACUGCUUACCCAAGGAAUUACUGCCUGCUCUGGAGGGCGAUUUAGGCUUGAAUCCUGACUAAGCUGCUGAACUAUGCAGUAACCUGUCUGUGCAGUAAACAGAAUUUUCCUUAGUCUUAGUUUUUAUCAUGAAAACAGGAAUAAUGCCAUCUAACUUAGAAGGAGGUUUGAGGAUUAAUUAAGACAGUAUUUAUUAAUAAAGUACUUAAGGGGCACCUGGGUGGCUCGGUUGGUUAAGCGUCUGACUUUGGCUCAGGUCAUGAUCUCACGGUCCGUGAGUUCGAGCCCCGCGUUGGGCCCUGUGCUGACAGCUCAGAGCCUGGAGCCUGUUUCAGAUUCUGUGUCUCCCUCUCUCUCUGCCCCUCCCCUGUUCAUGCUCUGUCUCUCUCUGUCUCAAAAAUAAAUAAAUGUUAAAAAAAAAUUUUUUUUUAAAGUACUUAAAAUAAU